GUCUAUGGCCAUGCCACCAUGAACAAGCCUGAUGUUGGAAGCUAAGCAGGGUCAGGCCUGGUUAGUACUUGGAUGGGAGAUCACCUAGGAAGACCAGGUGCUGUAGGCA
rnacentral:rRNA from 1 species